rnacentral:rRNA from 1 species
UCCGCGGGACGGGGCCGCCCCGCGAGGGACGGCGCCGCCCCCGGGGGCUCGUGAUAUCUCAUCUCGCCGCCCGUCGCGAGGCGGACGGAGGGAUGGAUGAGGUUACCUGGAAAAAAUCGGGGCGAUCUAGGCGGGCGAACCUCGCCAACGAACGAUCGGACAUGGGAUAACGGAAGAGGGCGUCGGCUCGACUUCGUCGGUUCCUCGGGCCGAGGCACGUACGGUGAAUAGGGACGGUCGGGGCCGCCCGUACCGGGUCGUGAGAGGUGAAAUUCUAGGAUCGACCCGAGACGAACCGCCGCGAAAGCAUUCGGCAGGACGCUUUCAUUAAUCAAGAACGAAAGUCGGGGGAGUCGAAGACGAUCAGAUACCGUCGUAGUCCCGACCGUAAACGAUGCCGACCGACGGGCCCGGAGGAGUUACGUACGCCCUCCGGGCCCUCCCGCCGAGAAAU